rnacentral:rRNA from 1 species
AUUGAACGCUGGCGGCAGGCCUAACACAUGCAAGUCGAACGAGUGGCGGACGGGUGAGUAACGAGUGGUAACCUGCCUCAUAGCGGGGGAUCACUAUUGGAAACGAUAGCUACUACCGCAUAUUGUGAGAUGGACCUGCGUUGUAUUAGCUAGUGGGUGAGUUAAAGUCUCAACAAGGCGACGAUACAUAGCCGACCUGAGAGGGUGAUCGGCCACACUGGGACUGAGACACGGUCCAGACUCCUACGGGAGGCAGCAGUGGGGAAGAUUGCACAAUGGGCGCAAGCCUGAUGCAGCCAUGCCGCGUGUAUGAAGAAGGCCUUCGGGUUGUAAAGUACUUUCAGCGGGGAGGCGUUACCCGCAGAAGAAGCACCGGCUAACGCCGUGCCAGCAGCCGCGGUAAUAC